rnacentral:rRNA from 1 species
UACAGAGGGUGCAAGCGUUACUCGGAAUUACUGGGCGUAAAGCGUGCGUAGUCGGUUAUCUAAGUCGGGUGUGAAAUCCCCGGGCUCAACCUGGGAAUUGCAUUCGAUACUGGAUAGCUAGAGUUCGGCAGAGGGAAGCGGAAUUUCCGGUGUAGCGGUGAAAUGCGUAGAUAUCGGAAGGAACAUCAGUGGCGAAAGCGGCUUCCUGGACCAGAACUGACGAUCAGGCACGAAAGCGUGGGGAGCAAACAGG